rnacentral:rRNA from 1 species
UAACCUGCCCAAGAGAUCGGGAUAACACCUGGAAACAGAUGCUAAUACCGGAUAACAACAGAUGAUGCCUAUCAACUGUUUAAAAGAUGGUUCUGCUAUCACUCUUGGAUGGACCUGCGGUGCAUUAGCUAGUUGGUAGGGUAACGGCCUACCAAGGCGAUGAUGCAUAGCCGAGUUGAGAGACUGAUCGGCCACAUUGGGACUGAGACACGGCCCAAACUCCUACGGAGGCAGCAGGC